UACGGAGGGUGCAAGCGUUAUCCGGAUUCACUGGGUUUAAAGGGUGUGUAGGCGGGGAUUUAAGGCAGUGGUGAAAUCUCCGAGCUUAACUUGGAAACUGCCAUUGAUACUAUUUAUCUUGAAUUCUGUUGAGGUGGGCGGAAUAUGUCAUGUAGCGGUGAAAUGCAUAGAUAUGACAUAGAACACCGAUUGCGAAGGCAGCUCACUAAGCAGACAUUGACGCUGAGGCACGAAAGCGUGGGGAUCAAACAGG
rnacentral:rRNA from 1 species